rnacentral:rRNA from 1 species
CUGUCUUCAGGGAAGAAAAUAAUGACGGUACCCGAGGAGGAACCCCCGGCUAACUACGUGCCAGCAGCCGCGGUAAUACGUAGGGGGCGAUUGUUGUCCGGAAUUACUGGGCGUAAAGGGCGCGUAGGCGGUUUUUUAAGUCAGAGGUGAAAACCCCGGGCUCAACCGGGGAAUUGCUUUUGAAACUGGGAGACUUGAGGGCUGGAGAGGAAAGUGGAAUUCCCAGUGUAGCGGUGAAAUGCGUAAAUAUUGGGAGGAACACCAGUGGCAAAGGCGACUUUCUGGCCUGUUACUGACGCUGAGGCGCAAAAGCGUGGGGAGCAAAGAGGAUUAUAUACCCUGGUACUCCACGCUAUAAACGAUGGGUGCUAGGUGUGGG